rnacentral:piRNA from 1 species
UACCUUAGUACCUGGGUGAAGAGUAAA